rnacentral:lncRNA from 1 species
UAUUAUGGCUGCAAAAUUAUUUAGAAAAAUACAGCAAAUGCUGGAAGCUAGAACAGGAAGUUAUAAAUCAGCAUCUUGAUGGUAAAAUGAAAAUCAACAACUAGUAGCACUUCUUUGAAUUGUCUUUAAAUUAGAGUAAUGUUAAUUUUGAUUGGUAUGGAGAUAGAUGCAUACAAUGGAAAACGAACUGCUGUUAUAUUUUUGGAAGAUGUUAAACAACAAGAUGUAAUUCGAGAUAUUGUUUCUAAAAUUCUUAAAGACGUGUUAUUCGUUCAAGUAAACGAUGCUGUUAAAGCAGGUUGUCUGAGCAGUUAAAGAAACUUAAUCAAAUGAUUCAAAAUUCUCUUCUUUAAGCAGCCGAAGCAACGAUACUCGAAAUGCCUGGAAUGGAUAAUUAACCAAGUAA